rnacentral:rRNA from 1 species
AAUGGGCGAAAGCCUGACGCAGCCAUGCCGCGUGAAUGAUGAAGGUCUUAGGAUUGUAAAAUUCUUUCACCGGGGACGAUAAUGACGGUACCCGGAGAAGAAGCCCCGGCUAACUUCGUGCCAGCAGCCGCGGUAAUACGAAGGGGGCUAGCGUUGCUCGGAAUUACUGGGCGUAAAGGGAGCGUAGGCGGACAUUUAAGUCAGGGGUGAAAUCCCGGGGCUCAACCUCGGAAUUGCCUUUGAUACUGGGUGUCUUGAGUAUGAGAGAGGUGUGUGGAACUCCGAGUGUAGAGGUGAAAUUCGUAGAUAUUCGGAAGAACACCAGUGGCGAAGGCGACACACUGGCUCAUUACUGACGCUGAGGCUCGAAAGCGUGGGGAGCAAA